CAGCGGUCAUGGAGAGUCUCCAUCCAGCUGGAUCACUGUCACAGGUAGACCUGCGACUACAGCCCCGCCCACAUCAGCACCUUCACCUUCUACCUCAAGCCCCCUGCAUUUUGACUUUACACUGCUUCGCUACCUGCUGGUGUUCUGUCCAUAUUUAAUCUCCACUCUUCUUGUUGCAUCUGUACAUCGACAGAGAGCCACAGGGAACAAUCCACCCACCAGUGAUCAUCCGAGCUCUUGAGGUCAACGGAUUGGAUGAAGAGGAUGUCAUCAAAGAGCACUGAUUGUAAAUUUUACCUAAGAUUUUGAGGCUCAUUCAAAAACAAAGCCUGUGUACAAAUCUGAGUUUAAGCCAGGUGUUCAAAUAAAUUAUGAAAUAGGAAAAAAAAAAGAUUCUAACCCAGAAAAUAAUGUAAUUUAAGUUAAAAACAUAAAAUAGUAACUGGAAAGGUUCAAGGAUUUAUCACUUCAAAACACUAUUCAUCUUGAAGUACUUAUGUAAAGACCCGACAAAAUGAGCAGCAUAGACUGAGUCUUAGGCUACGUCCACACGUACCCGGGUAUUUUUGAAAACGCAGCUUUUUCUAUGCGUUUGCACCUUUUGUCCACACGUAAACGGC